GACGAACGCUGGCGGCGUGCCUAAUACAUGCAAGUAGAACGCUGAAGGAGGAGCUUGCUUCUCUGGAUGAGUUGCGAACGGGUGAGUAACGCGUAGGUAACCUGCCUGGUAGUGGGGGAUAACUAUUGGAAACGAUAGCUAAUACCGCAUAAUAGCAGUUGUUGCAUGAUAACUGUUUGAAAGGUGCAAUUGCACCGCUACCAGAUGGACCUGCGUUGUAUUAGCUAGUUGGUGGGGUAACGGCUCACCAAGGCGACGAUACAUAGCCGACCUGAGAGGGUGAUCGGCCACACUGGGACUGAGACACGGCCCAGACUCCUACGGGAGGCAGCAGUAGGGAAUCUUCGGCAAUGGACGGAAGUCUGACCGAGCAACGCCGCGUGAGUGAAGAAGGUUUUCGGAUCGUAAAGCUCUGUUGUAAGAGAAGAACGGGUGUGAGGGUGGAAAGUUCACACUGUGACGGUAUCUUACCAGAAAGGGACGGCUAACUACGUG
rnacentral:rRNA from 1 species